CAGGCCUAACACAUGCAAGUCGAGCGGGCCCUUCGGGGUCAGCGGCGGACGGGUGAGUAACGCGUGGGAACGUGCCCUCUGGUUCGGAAUAACUCAGGGAAACUUGAGCUAAUACCGGAUACGCCCUUUUUGGGGAAAGGCUUGCUGCCGGAGGAUCGGCCCGCGUCUGAUUAGCCAGUUGGCGGGGUAACGGCCUACCAAGGCGACGAUCAGUAGGGGUUCUGAGAGGAUUGGCCCCCACAUGGGUACUGAGAUACGGACCCAACUCCUACGGGAGGCAGCAGUAGGGAAUAUUGGACAAUGGGCGCAAGCCUGAUCCAGCCAUGCCGCGUGAGUGAUGAAGGCCUUAGGGUUGUAAAGCUCUUUUACCCGGGAUGAUAAUGACAGUACCGGGAGAAUAAGCUCCGGCUAACUCCGUGCCAGCAGCCGCGGUAAU
rnacentral:rRNA from 1 species